AUUGAACGCUGGCGGCAGGCUUAACACAUGCAAGUCGAGCGGAGUGAUGGUGCUUGCACUAUCACUUAGCGGCGGACGGGUGAGUAAUGCUUAGGAAUCUGCCUAUUAGUGGGGGACAACAUCUCGAAAGGGAUGCUAAUACCGCAUACGUCCUACGGGAGAAAGCAGGGGAUCACUUGUGACCUUGCGCUAAUAGAUGAGCCUAAGUCGGAUUAGCUAGUUGGUGGGGUAAAGGCCUACCAAGGCGACGAUCUGUAGCGGGUCUGAGGGGAUGAUCCGCCACACUGGGACUGCGACACGGCCCAGACUCCUACGGGAGGCAGCAGUGGGGAAUAUUGGACAAUGGGGGGAACCCUGAUCCAGCCAUGCCGCGUGUGUGAAGAAGGCCUUAUGGUUGUAAAGCACUUUAAGCGAGGAGGAGGCUCUUUUGGUUAAUACCCAAGAUGAGUGGACGUUACUCGCAGAAUAAGCACCGGCUAACUCUGUGCCAGCCGCCGCGGUAA
rnacentral:rRNA from 1 species